UACAGAGAGUGCAAGCGUUAAUCGGAAUCACUGGGCGUAAAGCGUAUGUAGGUGGGUAUUUAAGUCGGAUGUGAAAUCCCUGGGCUUAACCUAGGAAUUGCAUUUGAUACUGGGUAUCUAGAGUAUGGUAGAGGGAAGUGGAAUUUCUGGUGUAGCGGUGAAAUGCGUAGAUAUCAGAAGGAACAUCAGUGGCGAAGGCGGCUUCCUGGACCAAUACUGACACUAAAGUACGAAAGCGUGGGUAGCAAACAGG
rnacentral:rRNA from 1 species